GGUUUUUUGAUUUUAAUAAAAAAUCUAGCCUGCCCAAUGAUUUGGCAUUGAAUGGCCGCAGUAUUUUGACUGUGCUAAGGUAGCAUAAUAAUUAGUCUUGUGAUUUAGGACUGGAAUGAAAGGUUGGACGAGGGAAGCGCUGUUUCUAGAAAAAUUUUUGAAGUUGGUGUUAUUGUGAAAAGGCAAUAGGAGUUACUGAGGGACGAGAAGACCCUGUUAAGUUUUACAAAAGGAGUUGGUUUUUAGGGUUAUUGAGAAAAAUGCGGAUGAAUUUUUGUUUUGCUGGGGCGGCACAGAUUAGAGAAAAUCUUUUUGUUACUGGGAAAGAGAGAUGAACAGAAGGUGAGCCAGAAAUUUAAAUUAGGGAAAUUUUUGAUAGUUGGAUUAAAUUACUACAGGGAUAACAGCGUAAUAUUGUUGGAGAGUUCUUAUUGAUAACAAAUUUUGCGACCUCGAUGUUGAAUUAAAAUUCCUAUUUGGUGCAGGGGCUUAAUUAGGUAGUCUGUUCGACUAUUAAAUUUUUACA
rnacentral:rRNA from 1 species